UACGGGGGGGGUAAGCGUUGUUCGGAAUUACUGGGCGUAAAGGGCUCGUAGGCGGCCAACUAAGUCAGACGUGAAAUCCCUCAGCUUAACUGGGGAACUGCGUCUGAUACUGGAUGGCUUGGAUCCGGGAGAGGGAUGCGGAAUUCCUGGUGUAGCGGUGAAAUGCGUAGAUAUCAGGAGGAACACCGGUGGCGAAGGCGGCCCUCUGGACGGUGACUGACGCUGAGACGCGAAAGCGUGGGGAGCAAACAGG
rnacentral:rRNA from 1 species